UUCUCUGCACCAAAAUAACACCAGCAGGAAUCAACAAAUUGUAAAAUAUGCAGUGGUGAAUGUCAUUUGCCUCUACUCAUUGUUUCGUGUGAGCAUUCAAAGGUUAGAAUGUAAGAACCAAGUGCAACAGGAAAGUGAAAUACAUGUAAUCAACCAAGUCUAUUACUUUUUCUCUACUUGCAUUUUUGGAUUAAAAGGUAUAAAAAAUUAUAUUUGAAAACUUCUGUUUUAUUUCAUAUGUGAUAGUUGUCAAAUAUUGAUAUAUUUUUUAUCCUAUCUUUUACUUGUAUUUGGACAUUUAUAGUUUUUUUUCUUACAUUGUUAAAUAAACCAGGUAAUUGAACUUGUUAACGUCGGAAAGAGAGAGGCGAGGUCUUUAAUUAAUUUUAUACUAAUUGAAUAGUUAUAUAGCAAUCAUUUGUAUAAUUAGUACAUUUGUCAAGCAAUCGUCACUAUGGUCAUACAUGGAUACAUACACACAUAUGUAACGACUAACAAUCUUUAUUUAGGAUAUUAGAUAAGACACUAACUUAGCGUUUUUAAGCUUAGUUUCAGAGUAUCUUCACUGCAAAAAAUCCUCUUACCGAGUUUGGUUCCCUCCGCGAAAUUAUGCAUUAGAGAAUUUUGGAAGUUUUAAUGCAUAAUUUUUUUACUUAGCCAUUUUGAAGUUUGCUGAGCCAUUUUUCAAUCUCCUCAGUGCAGAUCAGAUUGGUUCAGCCAUAUUCAGCUUGGCUCAUUCAUUUUCACCCUGCACCAAAAUUCUCUUUGCAGCUUAUCCGCUCAGCGUACAGGAGCUGCAGCCUGCAAUUGGCUAGUGCCAAUUGAGUAUAACUAGCCCGAAGUUGUCUUCUUUUGGUAUUUUGAGACAGAACAAAGCUUAGAUCAGAGAGAUAAAAGGUUCUCUUACCACCUAAGACACAAGGAAUCAAGAGAUUCUUCUCUCUUCCCUCUUUCCUUGCUUCUCAUUCUCUUCAAGUUCUAGCAAUCAAUUUUCUCCUUAAGCUUCAUUGCUCAGGUAUUGGGCAUCCUGCAAAGACAAACAUGGUAAUGACAAGAAGGAGAGUUCAUCCACUUCAAAGGCUUUCUCACCCUGAAGUGGUGGACUGACAUAAAAGGAUUGUGUUUCAUGAAAGGUGACAUCCAUGGUGAUAAAGACGCGAUGACUCUGAGGAUGAUAACAUUUGUACCCUUUUUUAUUAGAAGGAUACCCAAUAAAGACACAUUUAAGAGCUCUGGGAUCUAAUUUACCACGGUUAAGAUGAUGAGAGUGAACAAAACCAACACAUCCAAAGACUCAACUAGGUUGACUCGUUAGUAGGGAAGAAGGAAUAAAAGACAAUAGAUACUCUAUAGGACUAAUGUCAUUUAAGAUAUGAGUGGGUAACUUGUUGAUGAGAUAUGUGGCAGUUAACACAGCUUCUCCCCAGUAAUUGUUUAAGUCUAACUCAAUUCCCAAAAACCGGUUUGUAUGGUGAGGUUUUCACCCCACUUAUAUAUUAUAAUUUGGCCUUAUCUCUAGUCAAUAGUUAUCCUUUUAAGAAGAUCUUUGUAUUGUUUUACGUUUUGUAAACUCGUGUAAAUAUGGAUUAGUUUUUAGUUUGUUUUGUAUGGUUGAUUUGAGAACCUAAAUGUACAACAAAUAUUAUGUUAUGUAAAUUAUUUACGUGAAUUUUAUUAUUCACAUUUAUUAUUAUUUAUUAUUUAUUUCA